rnacentral:lncRNA from 1 species
UGGCUUCAGCAAUAAAUCUAUAGUAAAAGUUACAAAUUAAAGUUGGAUAAAGGAAGUGAGAGAAAAGGCAUUCAGGAAAGAAUCUUCUUCCAAUUAAACAAAAAAACCUAAAAAGAGAAAAAAUAAAGUUUGAUGAAAAGAAGUAAAUGGGAUUAUAAAUCAUUAACAUGGUUAAGAAAUAAGCACAACAAUGUUUUUGGAUUAUAGACCCGG